CCUACGGGAGGCAGCAGUGGGGAAUAUUGCACAAUGGGCGCAAGCCUGAUGCAGCGACGCCGCGUGAGGGAUGACGGCCUUCGGGUUGUAAACCUCUUUCAGUAGGGAAGAAGCGAAAGUGACGGUACCUGCAGAAGAAGCGCCGGCUAACUACGUGCCAGCAGCCGCGGUAAUACGUAGGGCGCAAGCGUUAUCCGGAAUUAUUGGGCGUAAAGAGCUCGUAGGCGGUUUGUCGCGUCUGCCGUGAAAGUCCGGGGCUCAACUCCGGAUCUGCGGUGGGUACGGGCAGACUAGAGUGAUGUAGGGGAGACUGGAAUUCCUGGUGUAGCGGUGAAAUGCGCAGAUAUCAGGGGGAACACCGAUGGCGAAGGCAGGUCUCUGGGCAUUAACUGACGCUGAGGAGCGAAAGCAUGGGGAGCGAACAGGAUUAGAUACCCUGGUAGUCCAUGCCGUAAACGUUGGGCACUAGGUGUGGGGGACAUUCCACGUUUUCCGCGCCGUAGCUAACGCAUUAAGUGCCCCGCCUGGGGGAGGUACGGCCGCGACGACGUAAACGUAAACGUAAGUUAGUUAGUCGUUGUUGAGNGCGACGACGACGACGAGGAGGAGG
rnacentral:rRNA from 1 species